GACGAACGCUGGCGGCGUGCUUAACACAUGCAAGUCGUACGGUAAGGCCCUUUCGGGGGUACACGGGUGUCGAACGGGUGAGUAACACGAGCGUAACCUGCCCCCAACUUUAGGAUAACGCUAGGAAACUGGUGCUAAUGCUGGUAAUGUGCUCCUGCUGCAUGGUGGGGGUUGGAAAGCUCCGGCGGGUGUGGGUGGACUGGCGGCCUAUCAGCUUGUUGGUGGGGUAGUGGCCUACCGAGGCGGCGUCGGGUAGCCGGACUGAGGGGGUGACCCGCGACACUGGGACCGACAGAAGGCACAGGCGGCGAAGGGAGGGAGAAGGGGGGAAUACUGAACGAGGGGCGCAAGCCGGAUGCAGAAGCGCCGCGGGCGGUAUGACGGCCUUAGGGGUGUAAACCGCUUUCAGCAGGGACGAAGCAUUUUGUGACGGUACCUGAAGAAGAAGCAACGGCUAACUACGUG
rnacentral:rRNA from 1 species